GCAGUCGAGCGGAUUGAUGGGAGCUUGCUCCCAUCAGUCAGCGGCGGACGGGUGAGUAACACGUGGGUAACCUGCCUGUAAGACUGGGAUAACUCCGGGAAACCGGGGCUAAUACCGGAUAACUCAUUUUCCUCGCAUGAGGAAAUGUUGAAAGGUGGCUUUUAGCUAUCACUUACAGAUGGACCCGCGGCGCAUUAGCUAGUUGGUGAGGUAACGGCUCACCAAGGCGACGAUGCGUAGCCGACCUGAGAGGGUGAUCGGCCACACUGGGACUGAGACACGGCCCAGACUCCUACGGGAGGCAGCAGUAGGGAAUCUUCCGCAAUGGACGAAAGUCUGACGGAGCAACGCCGCGUGAGUGAUGAAGGUUUUCGGAUCGUAAAACUCUGUUGUUAGGGAAGAACAAGUACCGUUCGAAUAGGGCGGUACCUUGACGGUACCUAACCAGAAAGCCACGGCUAACUACGUGCCAGCAGCCGCGGUAAUACGUAUGUGGCAAGCGUUGUCCGGAAUUAUUGGGCGUAAAGCGCGCGCAGGUGGUUUC
rnacentral:rRNA from 1 species